rnacentral:rRNA from 1 species
UACGGAGGGGGCUAGCGUUGUUCGGAAUUACUGGGCGUAAAGCGCACGUAGGCGGUUGUGCAUGUCAGAUGUGAAAGCCCCGGGCUUAACCUGGGAAUUGCAUUUGAAACUGCGCGGCUAGAGGCCGGAAGAGGGUAGUGGAAUUCCCAGUGUAGAGGUGAAAUUCGUAGAUAUUGGGAAGAACACCAGUGGCGAAGGCGGCUACCUGGUCCGGUUCUGACGCUGAGGUGCGAAAGCGUGGGGAGCAAACAGG